rnacentral:rRNA from 1 species
ACGUUGAUAGGCCGGGUGUGUAAGCGCAGCGAUGCGUUGAGCUAACCGGUACUAAUGAACCGCGAGGCUUAACCUUACAACGCCGCAGAUGUUUUG